rnacentral:rRNA from 1 species
GACGAACGCUGACGGCGUGCUUAACACAUGCAAGUCGAAGGGAGUGGCGAACGGGUGAGUAACACGUGAGUAACCUGCCCUUUUCUUUGUGAUAAGCCUGGGAAACUGGGUCUAAUACUGGCUGGAUUGGGAUGGGCUCGCGGCUUAUCAGCUUGUUGGUGGGGUGAUGGCUUACCAAGGCUUUGACGGGUAGCCGGCCUGAGAGGGGGGGCGGUCACAUGGGGACUGGGAUACGUCCCAGACGCAUACGGGAGGCAGCAGUGUGGGAUAUGGCACAAUGGACGAAAGUCUGAUGCAGCGACGGCGUGUGGGGGAUGAAGGCCUUCGGGUUGUAAACGCCUGUCGCCCGCGGAAUGGUAGUGGGUAAAGAAGCGCCGGCUAACUACGUGCCAGCAGCCGCGGUAAUUC